rnacentral:rRNA from 1 species
AUUGAACGCUGGCGGCAUGCUUUACACAUGCAAGUCGAACGGUAACAGGUUAAGCUGACGAGUGGCGAACGGGUGAGUAAUGCAUCGGAACGUGCCCGGUCGUGGGGGAUAACGCAGCGAAAGCUGCGCUAAUACCGCAUACGAUCUGAGGAUGAAAGCGGGGGACCGUAAGGCCUCGCGCGAUCGGAGCGGCCGAUGUCAGAUUAGGUAGUUGGUGGGGUAAAGGCUCACCAAGCCAACGAUCUGUAGCUGGUCUGCGAGGACGACCAGCCACACUGGAACUGAGACACGGCCCAGACUCCUACGGGAGGCAGCAGUGGGGAAUUUUGGACAAUGGGCGAAAGCCUGAUCCAGCAAUGCCGCGUGCAGGAAGAAGGCCUUCGGGUUGUAAACUGCUUUUGUACGGAGCGAAAAGGUCUCCUCUAAUACAGGGGGCUCAUGACGGUACCGUAAGAAUAAGCACCGGCUAACUACGUGCCAGCAGCCGCCAGUAA